GCUUGGCGGGGGGCUAUACAUGCAGUCGAGCGGACAGAUGGGAGCUUGCUCCCUGAUGUUAGCGGCGGACGGGUGAGUAACACGUGGGUAACCUGCCUGUAAGACUGGGAUAACUCCGGGAAACCGGGGCUAAUACCGGAUGCUUGUUUGAACCGCAUGGUUCAGACAUAAAAGGUGGCUUCGGCUACCACUUACAGAUGGACCCGCGGCGCAUUAGCUAGUUGGUGAGGUAACGGCUCACCAAGGCAACGAUGCGUAGCCGACCUGAGAGGGUGAUCGGCCACACUGGGACUGAGACACGGCCCAGACUCCUACGGGAGGCAGCAGUAGGGAAUCUUCCGCAAUGGACGAAAGUCUGACGGAGCAACGCCGCGUGAGUGAUGAAG
rnacentral:rRNA from 1 species